rnacentral:rRNA from 1 species
CCUACGGUAGGCAGCAGUGGGGAAUAUUGGACAAUGGGGGAAACCCUGAUCCAGCGACGCCGCGUGAGUGAAGAAGUAUUUCGGUACGUAAAGCUCUAUCAGCAGGAAAGAAAAUGACGGUACCUGACUAGGAAGCCCCGGCUAACUAAGUGCCGGCAGCCGCGGUAAUACGUAGGGGGCAAGGGUUAUCCGGGUUUACUUGGUGUAAAGGGAGCGUAGACGGCAGCGCAAGUCUGGAGUGAAAUGCCGGGGCCCAACCCCGGAACUGCUGUGGAAACUGGGAGGCUGGAGUGCAGGAGAGGUAUGCGGAAUUCGUGGUGUAGCGGUGAAAUGCGUAGAUAUCAGGAGGAACACCGGCGGCGAAGGCGGCUUACUGGACUGUAACUGACGUUGAGGCUCGAAGGCGUGGGGAGCAAACAGGAUUAGAUACCCGGGUAGUC